rnacentral:rRNA from 1 species
UACGGAGGAUCCAAGCGUUAUCCGGAAUGAUUGGGCGUAAAGCGUCCGCAGGUGGCAAUGUAAGUCUGCUGUCAAAGCGUCUGGCUCAACCAGAUAAAGGCAGUGGAAACUACAUAGCUAGAGUAAGGUAGGGGUAGAGGGAAUUCCUGGUGUAGCGGUGAAAUGCGUAGAGAUCAGGAAGAACACCGGUGGCGAAAGCGCUCUGCUGGACCUUAACUGACACUGAGGGACGAAAGCUAGGGGAGCGAAUGGG